rnacentral:rRNA from 1 species
GCUUACGGCCAUAUCACUUUGAAUGCACCAGUUCUCCUCCGAUGUAAGUUGAGUAACGUCGAGCGUAGUUAGUACUUAGAUGGGUGACCGCUUCAGAAAGCUAAGUGUAGCAAACC